AGAGCAGGGGACCCCUCUUGUCCUUCACUGUGUCCCGGCACCUAGCAGAGGCUGAUUCAGAGCAGAUGACUGACCACCAACCAGCGAAUGGGCCAAUGGAAGAAUCAAUGAAUGAAUGUAUUCAAGAGAGUUUCAGUGACUCACAUCCAUCCCACCCCCAGACCCUGGAGGAGAGGCCUUUUUGAAGAUGAAGGAGCUGCUCAAGCCUCUGCACAGAUGCCUUCCGUCCUUCUGAGUCCUCUCUUCCCACCUGAGGGCAAGGUGGUGGGGUGUACCUCACUACCCAGAUCCAACUUGAUGUACUGCUGACAAAAUAAUUAUCCCUCAGCCUAGCAAAUGCUGAGAUCUCUGGGAAAACAGAGCUUCAAUUACUGGGAAAAGCAGUGGACUCCCAUUAGGCUUGUUGGGAGGAAGAGGGACACAGAAUUGGCAUGGGGUUUGAGCAGCAAGAGAGACUGGCAGAUUUUCAACACCGCUUCCCCACCAGGCCUCCUCCCCAGACAGAGUUUGGCUGGACUGGGGACCCUGAGGCCACAGGCCUCAGGAGCCAGCCACACCUGCACAGUGUUUACUGAGCUGGGUGUCAGACUCACCCCGGAUGAGGCCCUGGUCAGAGGUGAGGAGGAAAGCCGGACAGCUCAGAGAUGACUACCAGCAACCAUGGGAAGUACACACCCCAGUCAGCGUGCACCGUGGGGAUGAAUGCUGGGAACACCGAGCAGACAGGCUUGUUCCUGUGCUAGGGUGUAGGGAAGACUUCCUGGAGGAGGUGAUGUAUGUCCUGCUCCCAGGAGUGAAUAGGACAUGGCCUAGUCAGGUCAACCUACACGUUUUGAGCACCUGGAUAAACCAAUUUAAGAAAACCUUUCCACAUGUUUCUGAAAUUUCCUGUGGGUGGCCUCCUCCUUGUGAUUCUACCGAGGCAGGCAGGCUUCUGGCCUUGCCUAGGUUGGGAAUGGGUGAAAACUCUGAGGAAAGGAAAAGCCAUUGCUAACUGAUACUUGGCACAAGCUCAUCUGUGUCUUUUAUUUUUUAUAAUCUACUAUUUAUAUUAAUUAUAACAUCAGGGUCACUCCAUGAUGUGCACCCCCUAAUGCUGUUCCCCAUUCAAUGACCACAAUCAAAACAGCACUAAUUCCUCUUAAGUAUCUUGAAAAACAUUAAAAAAAAAGCACUUUCCCUUCACAUGAUGCCCUCUACCACUCCUUGCAAUAAGAUCCUUAACAUAGAACUGCCUUGGGUUGAAGAGGUUUUUUCUUUUAAAUUCAGGAUUAUAAAUUGUGACUUAAAAUUAUUGCGAUAAGAGGCCCCAUAACCAUUGUUAAAAUGAUGGUGUUUGAAGAGAUGUCCACACUAUGUGUAUUUCACAGCUGGAAUAGAUCUCUUUGGGGAGCAUGCCUCCUCCCUGGUGUUUGGCAAAGUACAAUUGAAUUAGUGAAAGUGUAAUAAAGUGUGGGGAAAUGUCGAGAUGUAAGAAUCGAAAAUAAAAUAAAGAUAAUUUAAUCAUUAAA